rnacentral:misc_RNA from 1 species
CAACAAGGCCAUGGGCCCCCCGGCGCCCCGGCGCUGGAGGGUACCGGCCUGACUUACACACCCACGUCCCUUGGUCCUAGGAAAGGUAAGGUAGGUGGGAAGAUACCUAGAGUAGGCUGCUACCUCUAUCGCUUCCUCGGCAGGUCCGCCUGCCGCCAUGGACCACUUAAACCCUUUGCAGUGCACAUCAGCGUCUGAUAACAACCUAACUAGUUA